rnacentral:rRNA from 1 species
AGUGAACGCUGGCGGUAGGCCUAACACAUGCAAGUCGAACGGCAGCACAGUAAGAGCUUGCUCUUACGGGUGGCGAGUGGCGGACGGGUGAGGAAUACAUCGGAAUCUACUUUUUCGUGGGGGAUAACGUCGGGAAACUUACGCUAAUACCGCAUACGACCUACGGGUGAAAGCAGGGGAUCUUCGGACCUUGCGCGAUUGAAUGAGCCGAUGUCGGAUUAGCUAGUUGGCGGGGUAAAGGCCCACCAAGGCGACGAUCCGUAGCUGGUCUGAGAGGAUGAUCAGCCACACUGGAACUGAGACACGGUCCAGACUCCUACGGGAGGCAGCAGUGGGGAAUAUUGGACAAUGGGCGCAAGCCUGAUCCAGCCAUACCGCGUGGGUGAAGAAGGCCUUCGGGUUGUAAAGCCCUUUUGUUAGGAAAGAAAAGCAGCAGGUUAAUACCCCGCUGUUCUGACGGUACCCAAAGAAUAAGCACCGGCUAACUUCGUG